UGCUCAAUGAAUAAUUAAAUAGCCGCAAUUUCUGCGCUAAGGUAGCAUAAUCAUUUGUCUCCUAAUUAGAGACUAGUAUGAAAGGUUAAACAUUUAAUUUCUAUUUCAGAUUGCAAUUAAUAAAUCUAUUCUAAAUAUAAAAAAAUAUUUAUAAAAAAAAAAGACAACAAGACCCUAUCAAACUUCAACUAAAGUUCAACUGGGGCAGUUAUUUAAAAAAAAUUUAAACGUUAACAUAAAUUAUAUAUCUCUAGACCUACUCUAAGUAAUUACCAGAUUAAGUUACUGUAGGGAUAACAGCGUAAUAAUUUUUAAAAGCUCAUAUUUAAAAAAAAGAUUACGACCUCGAUGUUGAAUUAAUUUUAAUCUAUUAGAUGCAACCAUCUAAUAAGUAGGUCUGUUCGACCUUUAAAAAAUUACG
rnacentral:rRNA from 1 species